rnacentral:misc_RNA from 1 species
AAGUCGUAACAAGGUUUCCGUAGGUGAACCUGCGGAAGGAUCAUUAUUGAAUAUUCUUGAUAGGUUGUAGCUGGCUCUUUGGAGUAUGUGCACGCUUAUCUUGACUUUAUUCGUCCACCUGUGCACCUUUUGUAGUCUUGGGGAUUGAGAGCAGUCGACUAUCGGGAUGGCUAAGGUCAUUCCGGAUUUGAGGAAUGCUGAGUGCAAAAGGCAUACAGCUCUUCUCUAAUGACUGUCCCUCGAGUACUAUGUAUUCAUAUACCACAUAGUAUGUUGUAGAUUGUGAUGAAUGGGUCUAUGUACCUAUAAUAAUCAUAUACAACUUUCAGCAACGGAUCUCUUGGCUCUC